GUUAACGCUGGCGGCGUGCCUAACACAUGCAAGUCGAGCGAAGAGUACCGGAGUACCGGGCUCUUAGCGGCAGACGGGUGAGUAACACGUAAACAAUCUGCCCUCGAAUGGGAGACAACCAAGCGAAAGUUUGGCUAAUACCCCAUACAAUCCUCUUGAGGCAUCUCAAGGGGAUGAAAGGCCCGCACGGGUCGUUCGCGGAGGAGUUUGCGGCCUAUCAGCUAGUUGGCGGUGUAACAGACCACCAAGGCUAUGACGGGUAUCCGAUCUAAAAGGAUGAACGGACACAAGGGCACUGAGAAACGGGCCCUACUCCUACGGGAGGCAGCAGUGGGGAAGUUUGGACAAUGGACGAAAGUCUGAUCCAGCGACGCCGCGUGAAGGACGAAGGUGUUCGGAUCGUAAACUUCUUUUGCAGGGGACGAAUACGCGCAAGCGUUUGACGGUACUCUGCGAAUAAGCCACGGCUAACUACGU
rnacentral:rRNA from 1 species